rnacentral:lncRNA from 1 species
CAUAAGAACCAUCUAAUAUUAGAAUCAGCAAGUUCCCCAAGACAAAUAAGUAGAUGCAACAAAUUCCCAAAAAUGUACGGACGAAUAGGUUUCCCAUGAUUCAGAUAGAUAAUAGAGUAGUUCAAAAGGACAUUAUGUAUGUCCACUUAUUUAGUGAUAGUAAUAGUAGUAAAAUCUUUUAGAUGCUGUAAUAGGCAGCAUUCAGAUACGUUGCUACUUGGUGGUUUCUUCAUUUUGUUUUGCAGGGGUUGUACCACUGGUUCCUUCACUGGACUUUAUAGACGGUGAGGGUGCCAAAGUGGUUGAGCUGUCUCUUUUCUUUGUCUCCACUGCUUGUAUUGCAACAUCCAUUUGUGUUCCUUUAGAGUUGAGGUCCGGGUUGUCGGCAACUUCAGUUGUGCUUAUUGCACUUCCGGUAUUCCAAGAUGCAGAUGUUGUUCCGUAGUGACAAAUAUUAGAAAACCACACAAAUGACUUGAUACCCAGAAAGCUAACCUUAUUCCGGAAACCCCACCGAGAGCUUUUUCUUGUUGUUAUCCCGAACCUAUAACAUUAUAAGGAAACCAGUCAAAUUACAGAGGCCUUCUAAAUUUGUGAAAAAAUUGUAUGUUGCAGCUAAAUUACAAGGGUCAAGUGUCAAAUUUUAGGAAUUAAGCACACAUCGACGCCACACACGGCCCAAACCACCCACAUGAACGACAAAAUUGCGGGAAAAAUCUUAUUUCAAGCUGAACCACUAGGAGUAGCUGUGGCUAAAGAACAUUCUGAGAUGCUCGGUAGAAAAGCAUAAAAAAUAGCCCAAAUCCCAAAAUAUUAAAAGGAUGAAACUGAAGAAGACGAAAGAGGAGGCAUUGAAAUAAGCAUAAUCAAUGCGCAGGCAUUUGGGCAUUAACAUACAAACGCUUGGUUAUUUAAUUGAGGCUAUAAUGUCAAAGAAAUGGGGUCUUUCGGACAUGAGCUCGGAUGAGAGGGGAAAGGAAGAGGCAUGGAAAAUCCCAAUCCCUGAAGCUGAAAGGGGGGAAAUAAUAAACCCAUGUUUAUGGCUGUUAAAUUCAGGCAUAAAUGACAGCAAAAUAGUGGAGUUCACACCUGAGAGAGGAUGAAAAGACAAGCUGGGGAUCAGGACGGUAAAGCUAACAAUAUCAUGAGACAACAUCCAAAGAAUACAAAAACUAAUACCCAGAUGCAAACAUGAAGCUAUCCGGAAAGCUCAUGAAACAUUAGGCAACAGUGGCCAAGAACAGCGGGGAAAAAGGCUGUUCAAGUUACAGAUACAAACGGUUGUCUGUGAGAGCGGCCAAGACUCAUUUUAGACAAUUUCAG